AGGGAAUCUUCCGCAAUGGGCGAAAGCCUGACGGAGCAACGCCGCGUGAGUGAUGAAGGUCUUCGGAUCGUAAAACUCUGUUAUUAGGGAAGAACAUAUGUGUAAGUAACUGUGCACAUCUUGACGGUACCUAAUCAGAAAGCCACGGCUAACUACGUGCCAGCAGCCGCGGUAAUACGUAGGUGGCAAGCGUUAUCCGGAAUUAUUGGGCGUAAAGCGCGCGUAGGCGGUUUUUUAAGUCUGAUGUGAAAGCCCACGGCUCAACCGUGGAGGGUCAUUGGAAACUGGAAAACUUGAGUGCAGAAGAGGAAAGUGGAAUUCCAUGUGUAGCGGUGAAAUGCGCAGAGAUAUGGAGGAACACCAGUGGCGAAGGCGACUUUCUGGUCUGUAACUGACGCUGAUGUGCGAAAGCGUGGGGAUCAAACAGGAUUAGAUACCCUGGUAGCCCACGCCGUAAACGAUGAGUGCUAAGUGUUAGGGGGUUUCCGCCCCUUAGUGCUGCAGCUAACGCAUUAAGCACUCCGCCUGGGGAGUACGACCGCAAGGUUG
rnacentral:rRNA from 1 species